rnacentral:rRNA from 1 species
UACAGAGGGUGCAAGCGUUAAUCGGAAUUACUGGGCGUAAAGCGCGCGUAGGUGGUUUGUUAAGUUGGAUGUGAAAUCCCCGGGCUCAACCUGGGAACUGCAUUCAAAACUGACAAGCUAGAGUAUGGUAGAGGGUGGUGGAAUUUCCUGUGUAGCGGUGAAAUGCGUAGAUAUAGGAAGGAACACCAGUGGCGAAGGCGACCACCUGGACUGAUACUGACGCUGAGGCGCGAAAGCUAGGGGAGCAAACAGG